rnacentral:rRNA from 1 species
CGGAACGUCGCCCGUGGAGGUGGGGGAAUAACGCAGACGAAAGCUACGCUAAUACCGCAUAUUCUGUGAGCAAGGAAANCGAGGGGAUCGCAAGACCUUGCGUCUUUGGGAGCGGCCGAUGUCGGAUUAGCUAGUUGGUGGGGUAAAGGCUUACCAAGGCGACGAUCCGUAGCGGGUCUGAGAGGAUGAUCCGCCACACUGGGACUGAGACACGGCCCAGACUCCUACGGGAGGCAGCAGUGGGGAAUUUUGGACAAUGGGCGGAAGCCUGAUCCAGCCAUGCCGCGUGAGUGAAGAAGGCCUUCGGGUUGUAAAGCACUUUCAGCGAGGAGGAAGAGUUGUGUGUUAAUAGUACACAGCUUUGACGUUACUCGCAGAAGAAGCACCGGCUAACUCUGUG